GGGGAAUGGGAGGAACGGCAGGCAACAUACGCGCCGAGUUCCGCAACUGCCGCCCCACAACCACUCCACAUGCCAGCGUCCCUUCCGCCGCUUUCAGUCUCCACUUCCGGCAACGCCUCCAUGCUGCUUCCUGCCUGGCACCACAUGCAAUGAGACGGCGUGAACACACAGUGAGAAGGUGGCUGUCAGCACGCCAUAAAGAGCGACCUCACCAGAACUCAACCAUGCUGGCACCCUGAUCUCGGACUUCCAGCCUCCAAAACUGUGAGAAAAUAAAUUUCUGUUGUGUAAGUCACCCAGUCUAUGGCAUUUCUUAUGUCAACCCAAGCAGACUAAGACACAGCCUUAGGAUAGCCUAGGGGUGUCAUUAUUAGAGAAAAUGGCAAUGUAAUGGUACAAAAUGAUACCAUUUUUGGUACAUACUAUUUUGCAAAAAGACCAUCCCACUGAAAAUUAGUAUUCAUUUUAACAAAAUGGUCAGCAUCUAGCUUGUUUUAUCUUACUCA